CAGGCUAACCUGGAGAAGAUGUGCCGGACCUUGGAAGACCAGAUGAAUGAGCACCGGAGCAAGGCGGAGGAGACCCAGCGUUCUGUCAACGACCUCACCAGCCAGCGGGCCAAGUUGCAAACCGAGAAUGGUGAGCUGUCCCGGCAGCUGGAUGAGAAGGAGGCACUGAUCUCCCAGCUGACCCGAGGCAAGCUCACCUACACCCAGCAGCUGGAGGACCUCAAGAGGCAGCUGGAGGAGGAGGUUAAGGCGAAGAACGCCCUGGCCCACGCACUGCAGUCGGCCCGGCAUGACUGCGACCUGCUGCGGGAGCAGUACGAGGAGGAGACGGAGGCCAAGGCCGAGCUGCAGCGCGUCCUUUCCAAGGCCAACUCGGAGGUGGCCCAGUGGAGGACCAAGUAUGAGACGGACGCCAUUCAGCGGACUGAGGAGCUCGAGGAGGCCAAGAAGAAGCUGGCCCAGCGGCUGCAGGAAGCUGAGGAGGCCGUGGAGGCUGUUAAUGCCAAGUGCUCCUCGCUGGAGAAGACCAAGCACCGGCUACAGAAUGAGAUCGAGGACUUGAUGGUGGACGUAGAGCGCUCCAAUGCUGCUGCUGCAGCCCUGGACAAGAAGCAGAGGAACUUCGACAAGAUCCUGGCCGAGUGGAAGCAGAAGUAUGAGGAGUCGCAGUCGGAGCUGGAGUCCUCGCAGAAGGAGGCUCGCUCCCUCAGCACAGAGCUCUUCAAACUCAAGAACGCCUAUGAGGAGUCCCUGGAACAUCUGGAGACCUUCAAGCGGGAGAACAAAAACCUGCAGGAGGAGAUCUCCGACUUGACUGAGCAGUUGGGUUCCAGCGGAAAGACUAUCCAUGAGCUGGAGAAGGUCCGAAAGCAGCUGGAGGCCGAGAAGAUGGAGCUGCAGUCAGCCCUGGAGGAGGCCGAGGCCUCCCUGGAGCACGAGGAGGGCAAGAUCCUCCGGGCCCAGCUGGAGUUCAACCAGAUCAAGGCAGAGAUCGAGCGGAAGCUGGCAGAGAAGGACGAGGAGAUGGAACAGGCCAAGCGCAACCACCUGCGGGUGGUGGACUCGCUGCAGACCUCCCUGGACGCAGAGACACGCAGCCGCAACGAG
rnacentral:lncRNA from 1 species